ACUGUGGCUCAGCUGGUAGAGCAGCUGAUUCGUAAUCAGCAGGUCGCCGGUUCAAGUCCGGCCAGU
rnacentral:tRNA from 1 species